GAUGAACGCUGGCGGCGUGCCUAAUACAUGCAAGUCGAGCGAACAGACGAGGAGCUUGCUCCUCUGACGUUAGCGGCGGACGGGGGAGUAACACGUGGAUAACCUACCUAUAAGACUGGGAUAACUUCGGGAAACCGGAGCUAAUACCGGAUAAUAUAUUGAACCGCAUGGUUCAAUAGUGAAAGACGGUUUUGCUGUCACUUAUAGAUGGAUCCGCGCCGCAUUAGCUAGUUGGUAAGGUAACGGCUUACCAAGGCGACGAUGCGUAGCCGACCUGAGAGGGUGAUAGGCCACACUGGAACUGAGACACGGUCCAGACUCCUACGGGAGGCAGCAGUAGGGAAUCUUCCGCAAUGGGCGAAAGCCUGACGGAGCAACGCCGCGUGAGUGAUGAAGGUCUUCGGAUCGUAAAACUCUGUUAUUAGGGAAGAACAAAUGUGUAAGUAACUAUGCACGUCUUGACGGUACCUAAUCAGAAAGCCACGGCUAACUACGUG
rnacentral:rRNA from 1 species